rfam:Aedes aegypti strain Liverpool supercont1.635 genomic scaffold, whole genome shotgun sequence.
UGCCCAGCAAAGCCUAUCCCUACCUCCUCGUGGUACUGGGGAAGAUCGGGUAACCAACCCUGGUGGGAACUUUGGUCGUAUGCUGACAGGGAAGG